UACGUAGGGUGCGAGCGUUGUCCGGAAUUAUUGGGCGUAAAGAGCUCGUAGGCGGUGUGUUGCGUCGGUCGUGAAAACUUUCAGCUUAACUGGGAGCUUGCGGUCGAUACGGGCAUCACUGGAGUUCGGCAGGGGAGACUGGAAUUCCUGGUGUAGCGGUGAAAUGCGUAGAUAUCAGGAGGAAUACCGAUGGCGAAGGCAGGUCUCUGGGCUGACACUGACGCUCAUGCACGAAAGCGUGGGGAGCAAACAGG
rnacentral:rRNA from 1 species